rnacentral:rRNA from 1 species
UACAGAGGUCUCAAGCGUUGUUCGGAUUCAUUGGGCGUAAAGGGUGCGUAGGUGGCGCCGUAAGUCAGGUGUGAAAUUUCGGAGCUUAACUCCGAAACUGCAUUUGAUACUGCGGUGCUUGAGGACUGGAGAGGAGACUGGAAUUUCCGGUGUAGCGGUGAAAUGCGUAGAUAUCGGAAGGAACACCAGUGGCGAAGGCGAAUCUCUGGACAGUUCCUGACGCUGAGGCACGAAGGCCAGGGGAGCAAACGGG